GGUUGUAAACCUCUUUCAGCAGGGAAGAAGCGAAAGUGACGGUACCUGCAGAAGAAGCACCGGCUAACUACGUGCCAGCAGCCGCGGUAAUACGUAGGGUGCGAGCGUUGUCCGGAAUUAUUGGGCGUAAAGAGCUUGUAGGCGGUUUGUCGCGUCUGCCGUGAAAAUCCGAGGCUCAACCUCGGACUUGCGGUGGGUACGGGCAGACUAGAGUGUGGUAGGGGAGACUGGAAUUCCUGGUGUAGCGGUGAAAUGCGCAGAUAUCAGGAGGAACACCGAUGGCGAAGGCAGGUCUCUGGGCCACUACUGACGCUGAGAAGCGAAAGCAUGGGGAGCGAACAGGAUUAGAUACCCUGGUAGUCCAUGCCGUAAACGUUGGGAACUAGGUGUGGGUCUCAUUCCACGAGAUCCGUGCCGCAGCUAACGCAUUAAGUUCCCCGCCUGGGGAGUACGGCCGCAAGGCUAAAACUCAA
rnacentral:rRNA from 1 species